AGAGGAGCCUGCUGCUACAGCUAUAUCAGCUAGCCUCGGCCUCCAAGCUCCCCAGCAUGCAACACUCCCAGAGGCUGGACCAGAGGCUCCACAUGCUCAGGGAGGAGAUCAGAACCAUGACUCAGGAGAAGGAGCGAGGGGAGCGAGUAUGGAGGGAGCGACUGCAGCGUUGCCAGAGGCAACUGAAGGCCAAAGAGGAGGAGAUGUGUCGUCAGUCCCAGUAUUUUGAGAACUUUAAAACCCAACUCCAACACAAGCUCAGUCUAGCCUGUGACAGAGAGCAGAGCCUGCAAAACCGGAUCUACACUUUAGAAAAGCAGCUGCUUGACAUGACUGUUAGUGCUGCCACUGGCAUGGCGACAAUUAGAGCGGUCAGGAUUACUGCUGGGACUGUAACACAUAUGGAAGAGCAAGACAGGCUCCCUUCCAUGAGAGGAGAGGGUGAAGGAGAAGAGGAGAAAAAGGAGGAGAGAAGAAGGCAAUGGCAGCCAAGUGUAGGCAUUGAAAGAGGGGAAAGGCAAGAGGGGGUUGAGGGAAAGACAGCAAAAGAUGUAGAAGGAGGAAGAGUCAAAGACGGAAAACAGACCUCAAAUGAAGCCAGACUGCAAGGCUUUAUUAUCAGCCUGCAGGAGGAUCUCAGAGUGCUGCUGGAGAGGGAGGAGGAUAGAUUGACUGAGCAGAGGGGACUGAUGGAGCAGCUACAUGAGGCCCAGGAGAACAACCACUUUCUGGGCUGCAGAGUGGAGGAGAUGAAGGUGGAGGUACACCGGCUAAAAUUGUCUGAAAGCUCCCUGAUGGAGGAGGUUGAAGAGCUGAGAGAGGAGAAUGAAAGACUCCAUCAGAUCCUCAGGGACGCAGCUAACCAAACACAGAGUCAGUCAUCCAUAAUCGCUGAGUCUACAAACCCGAGUCCAGGGACCACCUCGCCUAGCUGCAGUCCUGUUGUUUGUUCCUCCAGCACUCUCUUUACCACUGCCAUGGGACUAUCAUCAGUGGACAGCUUGGGAGAAAUCCAGCCAGCCUUAGAUGCACAUUCAUCUGCAGUUCCACCUGUUUGCCAUAAGGCUACAGCAGAGAGUUUACAGAACAACACAGAGGAUCACUCCUCAUCAGCCAAAUCAAAACCUCUACCUAAAAAAGAUUCCCUGAACCUCUUCCACCAGUACGGCCCCAAACCUAGCACCAGCCUUCUGUCACUGUCCCUGACCACAGAGAUAUUAGAUCAGUUUAAACUCAACUUGGAAGAAAGUCCCAGUCAAGAAUCUGAUGCUCUGAGGGAAGCAUACAGGAGCUUGGGGUUAGGGGAAGAUCUCCAAGCUCUUCAAGAGCAACGUGACCACCUGGAGGUCGAGCUGAAGCACACCCAGG
rnacentral:lncRNA from 1 species